rnacentral:rRNA from 1 species
CGCUUAACGUGGAGGGGCCAUUCGAAACUGCUGUGACUCGAGUCCGGUAGGGGAGUGUGGAAUUCCCGGUGUAGCGGUGAAAUGCGCAGAUAUCGGGAGGAACACCAGUAGCGAAGGCGGCACUCUGGGCCGGUACUGACGCUGAGGAGCGAAAGCGUGGGGAGCGAACAGGAUUAGAUACCCUGGUAGUCCACGCCGUAAACGUUGGGCACUAGGUGUGGGACUCUAUCGACGGGUUCCGUGCCGUAGCUAACGCAUUAAGUGCCCCGCCUGGGGAGUACGGCCGCAAGGCUAAAACUCAAAGGAAUUGACGGGGGCCCGCACAAGCGGCGGAGCGUGUGGCUUAAUUCGAUGCAACGCGAAGAACCUUACC